UCUAAACAUAGCUCCUCUGUUUAUAUCAGCACCAGGCACAACAGGGAGGGCUUAAGCAGGGGCAGAGUGGGGGCGACAUGAGAAGGAAUAACAUCUAUCUGCUCAAUUCGGAAAAAAAAAAUGACAGAGACCACAGCCAGUGACUCAUCAAAGGGCACUAUUUUUCAAGGCUGGAGGUUCAUGCAGUGACUGAUGCAAGUCUCAGCAGACCUUUUUGAGAGGGACUUAACAUGCAUGUCUGUCCUGGAACUGUCUGAAUUUCUUUGCGACAGCACUGAGUAAAAUGGGAUCCCCAUCUGCCUCCUUGUCAUCACCAAACACUGGCAGCAGCCGUGCCUUCUUAUGCCUCGUCUCACAGCAGCUCUAUUGGACAUCUCCUUGAGACAGGUAUAGACUUAUUCUCUCCAAUCUGGCAAUGGACAGACAUGGCAAGACGGUCUGACCUGGUGAAG